AUGGCUCAGAUGAACGCUGGCGGCAGGCCUAACACAUGCAAGUCGAACGGUAACAGGAAGAAGCUUGCUCUUGCUGACGAGUGGCGGACGGGUGAGUAAUGUCUGGGAAACUGCCUGAUGAGGGGGAUAACUACUGGAAACGGUAGCUAAUACCGCAUAACGUCGCAAGACCAAAGAGGGGGACCUUCGGGCCUCUUGCCAUCGGAUGUGCCCAGAUGGGAUUAGCUUGUUGGUGGGGUAACGGCUCACCAAGGCGACGAUCCCUAGCUGGUCUGAGAGGAUGACCGGCCACACUGGAACUGAGACACGGUCCAGACUCCUACGGGAGGCAGCAGUGGGGAAUAUUGCACAAUGGGCGCAAGCCUGAUGCAGCCAUGCCCGCGUGUAUGAAGAGGGCCUUCGGGUUGUAAAGUACUUUCAGCGGGGAGGAAGGGAGUAAAGUUAAUACCUUUGCUCAUUGACGUUACCCGCAGAAGAAGCACCGGCUAACUCCGUGCCAGCCGCCGC
rnacentral:rRNA from 1 species